GAUGAACGCUGGCGGCGUGCCUAAUACAUGCAAGUCGAGCGAACGGACGAGAAGCUUGCUUCUCUGAUGUUAGCGGCGGACGGGUGAGUAACACGUGGAUAACCUACCUAUAAGACUGGGAUAACUUCGGGAGACCGUAGCUAAUACCGGAUAAUAUUUUGAACCGCAUGGUUCAAAAGUGAAAGACGGUCUUGCUGUCACUUAUAGAUGGAUCCGCGCUGCAUUAGCUAGUUGGUAAGGUAACGGCUUACCAAGGCAACGAUGCAUAGCCGACCUGAGAGGGUGAUCGGCCACACUGGAACUGAGACACGGUCCAGACUCCUACGGGAGGUAGCAGUAGGGAAUCUUCCGCAAUGGGCGAAAGCCUGACGGAGCAACGCCGCGUGAGUGAUGAAGGCCUUCGGAUCGUAAAACUCUGUUAUUAGGGAAGAACAUAUGUGUAAGUAACUGUGCACAUCUUGACGGUACCUAAUCAGAAAGCCACGGCUAACUACGUG
rnacentral:rRNA from 1 species